UACGUAGGCAGCAAGCGUUGUUCGGAAUUACUGGGCGUAAAGAGUGUGUAGGCGGUGCUCUAAGUUCGGUGUGAAAUCUCCCGGCUCAACUGGGAGGGUGCGCCGGAAACUGGAGUGCUGGAGCGCGGGAGAGGAAAGCGGAAUUCCUGGUGUAGCGGUGAAAUGCGUAGAUAUCAGGAGGAACACCUGCGGUGUAGACGGCUUUCUGGACCGUAGCUGACGCUGAGACACGAAAGCGUGGGUAGCAAACAGG
rnacentral:rRNA from 1 species